CGAUGGUGUCAUGGUCAUUGUUAACCGUUCAUAGGAACCCUUCAAUUGCAAUGCAUUGCGGCUUGUGUGGGGUUAAUAUAACGGUCAACAGAGACACUCGACAUCAAAGA
rnacentral:pre_miRNA from 2 species